UGUUAAAUAGUUUAUAAAAAAUAUUAAUUUUGUAAAUUAAUGAAAUAAAAAAAUUUUUUUUAACAA
rnacentral:tRNA from 1 species